ensembl:lncRNA
AGACUCCCAGAAACACGUCCAAAGAGGGAGAAUCUUUGGAGGACUGAAAACUGGACAAGUGUUGAGAAUCCAUCGUAAGAGGACACAGCUGAGAGAAGAGCAACUGAGAGGAAGGUGAGGCUCUGCCAUGUGCCCCAGGAAUAUCCUUGUGGUCAGAAACUGAGAGCAGGAAAGGGCAAAUAAAAACUAAGCCCUAACAAAAUCUUUGUGUUUGGGAAAGAUAACCCACAGGGGCCUUCUGAAGUUCUUUAUCUUUCCCAGCAAUGUCCCUUUAUCACAAGAGCUCCUUCCCUCCUCAAAAGACUUCCACCUCCCAGUGCUGCAAAACCUCUGUGUGCUCCUAACUCUGGCACUGGAGAUUUGGGGUUAGGCCACAUGAAGUUUCUGCAGGAUCUCUGCAAAAAGUGCUUUUCAAAUACCCUCCUUCCCUCCAUCUGAAGUCUCAGCUUCACCACUUUAUCAGCUGUAUUUUAUCCUGCUCCUGUGGUCUGUGCCUUCAGCAGGAGCUGGUGAAUCUCUCUGCUGACCACCACACCCCCACAGCCCUGGCUGAGCUCCCUGGGGUUGUCCCUGCUCACUGCUGGAUGCAAUUCCAAGUAGUACUUGUUUCUUCCUAUCGACCUCUUCUCAACACCCACCGGGGCUUUUUGCAGCUCCUCACAUUAAAAUAUCAAGAAAAACCUGAGUUUUUGCAAAGGGCUGGCAAAGGAUGCUCCAGGACCAUCAGUGCCUGCUGGCAACACUGCUGGUGAGGAACCAUGGGCAUUCUUGACACAAAUCCCUGAAUUCCACACUCCAGGCUGCUGAAUCACCUUGCAGAAGCAACAGGCUCCUCUUCCAAUCCCUGCUUGAGAAAAAGUCAACCUUUUCAGGAGGUAACAAGGAGUGUCAGCCACCCUGUCCUCCUCCUGGCUCUCCCUGGAGCCCUGAUUUAAAUGUGAGGAACACACUUUUUUCUUUUGGCUUGGAUCCACGAGCAGUUCAGGGAAAAAAAAAAGUUAAUUUUGGUGCUUUAUGGAUAGCUCUUAUCAGCUCACUCUUAAUGGCAUCUUUGCUCUCCAGUGAAAGGUUAAUAGCCAUAUUUGCCCAGCAUUCAUCAGAAUUAGAAUCCAGCUAAUCUCCAGGAUAAAUAACAAGAAGGCAGCAGAUGAGCCCAAAGGUGAAUCUGCCCAAGGAUAAAAGCCUCUUGUGAGCUGCUUCAGGGAAAAGCCUUCAGUAAUUCAAUGGCAAGGCCUCCAUGGCCACGGAAGGAGUCCCACACAAAGUCCUAAGGAUUUUUCUCCCUGCAAUAACAGCUGGUAAGAUGAUUGUGUCUUGUUUCCCAGGAGCUCUGUAGCAAUCAGCCUCCUCGCCCAGCACUCAGGGUGGAGAUUUACUUGUUCUCCACAGCUCAGGUGUCUCAUUUGACACGAGAUCCCAUCUCCUGCUCCAGCUGCCCAGACUGUGACUCCUCCUGUUUCCCCAUCAUUAUCUUCACCUAAAUGAACUUGCCCUGCUUUUGGCAAGGCAUCCCAUCCCCAGCCCCUUCCAGCUGGAGCAGACCCAAGGAAAUAAAUUCCUCUGUCCUCACCCUCCCUCA